UGUCGAGCGGAUGAGGAGGACCGAGAAGCCGGACGUGCUCCAUGGCCAAGCGAGCCAGAGCAAGAAAGGGGAGGACUUCACUUUCCUCAAGACUGAGUGCCAGCGAGUUCCUGGCGAUGGGAUCAGCACUUUCUCGGUUUUCGGGCUGUUUGACGGGCAUAACGGAUCUGCAGCUGCUAUAUAUGUUAAGGAGAACCUUUUGAAUAAUGUUGUAGGUGCCAUUCCUUCGGAUCUUAGCAGGGACGAGUGGUUGGCUGCUUUACCAAGAGCUUUGGUUGCUGGAUUUGUCAAGACGGAUAAAGACUUUCAGGAGAAAGCACAGACCUCAGGAACAACUGUUACACUUGUGAUAUUAGAUGGGUGGGUGGUAACGGUAGCAUCAGUUGGUGAUUCACGGUGCAUACUUGAAUCUGCUGAAGGUUCAAUUUAUUGUCUAUCAGCAGAUCACAGGCUGGAUGUUAACAUAGAAGAGGUUGAGCGGGUAACUACAAGUGGAGGUGAAGUUGGAAGACUGAAUGUUGCUGGUGGAGCGGAGAUUGGCCCUCUCAGGUGUUGGCCAGGUGGCUUGUGUCUAUCAAGGUCAAUUGGAGAUAUGGAUGUUGGUGAAUUCAUUGUUCCUAUUCCACAUGUGAAGCAAGUGAAGCUAUCAAACGCUGGUGGUCGGCUUAUCAUUUCAAGUGAUGGCGUAUGGGAUGCAUUAUCUUUCGAAUCAGCAUUAAACUGUUCUCGUGGUUUGCCAGCAGAGGUGGCAGCUGCUCAAAUUGUUAAAGAAGCUGUACAGUUUAAGGGACUAAAAGAUGAUACUACCUGUAUCGUGGUUGACAUAUUACCUCCAGAAAAAAUAUCCCCUCCUCGACCACCGAAAAAGCAAGGGAUGGGCAUGUUUAAAGCUAUGUUCCGUAAAAAGUCAUCUGAGUCAUCAUCCUAUUCAUAUAAAGAUUAUUCUGAGGUUGACACCGUGGAGGAGAUAUUUGAAAAUGGAUCUGCAAUGCUUUGUCAGAGGCUAGAUAUAGAGUAUCCAAUAUGCAAUAUGUUCAAGCUCUUUCUAUGUGCUGUAUGUCAAGUUGAGAUGAAACCUGGUGAGGGAAUCUCUGUACAUGCCGGUUUGUCACAACCUGGGAGAUUAAGACCUUGGGAUGGUCCCCUCCUAUGCCCUAGUUGUACCGUGAAGAAGGAAGCCAUGGAAGGCAAAAGUCAUUGAAGAGGUUUUAUAACUAACUACUUUUUAUGGCCCUUCAACAGUUCUUAAUGCUAUAAGCCGUUGAAGGGUUGUUCGUUUAGAAGUACAUAUGGACGCGGGUAGAUUUUUUCCUACAGUAAUGUUAAAGGUAGUUCACUCCACAAACAUAGAUGGGAGAAGCUGACAUACUGAGGAUUUCCAAAAGACUUCCAUGAGAUAUUUUCCUGGCAUCUUGUUGGCAUGCUGAAGCAGAGGCAUCUCAUGUACAAAAUUUGGAUUUUGGAUCGAAGCUAGAGGUCAAACAUGAUUCCCUUAAUUCGAAAAAUUCAUUCCCUUAGCGGCACAAGCACUGUAUCGAAAUAUUUUUUCCGGUUUCAUGAAACACAUCCCGUUAUAUGUGUCUACUGAAGAAAGAGUCACCGGAGUUGAUUCAAUUCAUUCCAAAGUUUGUACCUUGUAUAUCAAAUAUUUUACUAUGUAAAUUCAUGUGAUAAAAAGAUUUUACUUAUAUAUUA